UAUUCAGGCUACGUUGAGAUUGCUAGUUUGCCUGCAGUAAGGGUGUAGGCUGGGGUUGGCAAGAGACUGGGAGGGGGCCCACCUGGGACAGCUGACUUCAACUGGCCAAAGUGAUAUUCCACACCACAUAACUUCAUGCCCACAAUAAGAUGAGGAGUUUUUCCAAAGUAGUGAAAGCUUGAUCUGCUGGUGAUUCUGUUCCCCAUCCCACCCGAGGGGCAAUGAGCGAGCAAGUGGGUAGAAGCUUACCUGCUGGCUGGGGCCAACCCACCACACCUAGGAAGGGUAAAGCUUUGGGAAAAGGAACAGAAAAAUAAACAGCCCAAGGAUUCCACCAACUAUUUAGGACAAAACCAUCAGAAACCUGGACUAAACUUGACCUAAGUUGGGAAGAACUCAUAUAAUAAUUCCAGGC